UACGUAGGUGGCAAGCGUUAUCCGGAUUUAUUGGGCGUAAAGGGAACGCAGGCGGUCUUUUAAGUCUGAUGUGAAAGCCUUCGGCUUAACCGGAGUAGUGCAUUGGAAACUGGGAGACUUAGUGCAGAAGAGGAGAGUGGAACUCCAUGUGUAGCGGUGAAAUGCGUAGAUAUAUGGAAGAACACCAGUGGCGGAAGCGGCUCUCUGGUCUGUAACUGACGCUGAGGUUCGAAAGCGUGGGUAGCAAACAGG
rnacentral:rRNA from 1 species